AGUGAACGCUGGCGGUAGGCCUAACACAUGCAAGUCGAACGGCAGCACAGUAAGAGCUUGCUCUUACGGGUGGCGAGUGGCGGACGGGUGGGGAAUACAUCGGAAUCUACUUUUUCGUGGGGGAUAACGUAGGGAAACUUACGCUAAUACCGCAUACGACCUACGGGUGAAAGCAGGGGAUCUUCGGACCUUGCGCGAUUGAAUGAGCCGAUGUCGGAUUAGCUAGUUGGCGGGGUAAAGGCCCACCAAGGCGACGAUCCGUAGCUGGUCUGAGAGGAUGAUCAGCCACACUAGAACUGAGACACGGUCCAGACUCCUACGGGAGGCAGCAGUGGGGAAUAUUGGACAAUGGGCGCAAGCCUGAUCCAGCCAUACCGCGUGGGUGAAGAAGGCCUUCGGGUUGUAAAGCCCUUUUGUUGGGAAAGAAAAGCAGCAGGUUAAUACCCCGCUGUUCUGACGGUACCCAAAGAAUAAGCACCGGCUAACUUCGUG
rnacentral:rRNA from 1 species